rnacentral:lncRNA from 1 species
CACCUCUGACCAGGAGAAAAACCAACCAAUAGAAACAGGCCCAGACACUGACCAGGAGAAAAACCAACCAAUAGAAACAGGCCCAGACACUGACCAGGAGAAAAACCAACCAAUAGAAACAGGCCCACACACUGACCAGGAGAAAAACCAACCAAUAGAAACACGCCCAGACACUGACCAGGAGAAAAACCAACCAAUAGAAACACGCCCAGACACUGACCAGGAGAAAAACCAACCAAUAGAAACACGCCCAGACACUGACCAGGAGAAAAACCAACCAAUACAAACACGCCCAGACACUGACCGGGAGAAAAAAAAAACAACCAAUAAAAACAUGCCCAGACAAUGACCAGGAGAAAAACCAACCAAUAGAAACACGCCCAGACACUGACCAGGAGAAAAACCAACCAAUAGAAACACGCCCAGACACUGACCAGGAGAAAAACCAACCAAUAGAAACAGGCCCAGACACUGACCAGGAGAAAAACCAACCAAUAGAAACAGGCCCAGACACUAACCAGGAGAAAAACCAACCAAUAGAAACACGCCCAGACAGUGACCAGGAGAAAACAAACCCAAUAGAAACACGCCCAGACAUAAGACAAAUAAUAAAAUUAGUGGACAAGGACAUUAAAACAGCUAUUGUAAGAGCGGAUAUAGCGGUGUG